CAGACCUUCACAUCCGUGGCUGGAUUGCAUCCAGGGUUCAUCACCUUACAGCUGGUUUCAAAACCACAAGUGACCAGAUGUUUGAGCACUACUAUCAGUGGUUAGAGGAGAAGGAGUUGGAGAUUAC
rnacentral:lncRNA from 12 species